rnacentral:rRNA from 1 species
UAGGGAAUCUUCGGCAAUGGACGAAAGUCUGACCGAGCAACGCCGCGUGCGUGAAGAAGGUUUUCGGAUCGUAAAACUCUGUUGUUAGAGAAGAACAAGGACGUUAGUAACUGAACGUCCCCUGACGGUAUCUAACCAGAAAGCCACGGCUAACUACGUGCCAGCAGCCGCGGUAAUACGUAGGUGGCAAGCGUUGUCCGGAUUUAUUGGGGGUAAAGCGAGCGCAGGCGGUUUCUUAAGUCUGAUGUGAAAGCCCCCGGCUCAACCGGGGAGGGUCAUUGGAAACUGGGAGACUGGAGUGCAGAAGAGGGGAGUGGAAUUCCAUGUGUAGCGGUGAGAUGCGUAGAUAUAAGGAAGAACACCAGUGGAGAAGGCGGCUCUCUGGUCUGUAACUGACGCUGAGGCUCGAAAGCGUGGGGAGCAAACAGG